rfam:Trichobilharzia regenti genome assembly, scaffold: TRE_scaffold0019984
GUACUGAUGAACAGUCCCAAACUAGGACGAAACCGCUGUCCAGUAC